rnacentral:rRNA from 1 species
UAAGCUCGGUGCAAGGAGCGUAGGUAAUACGGAUGGGGUCGGGGUUAAUCGGAAUUAAUGUGCGUAUAGGGGGCGUAGCGGGUUGGGUGAGUCAGCGUGGGGAGCCCCGAGCUCAGCCCGGGAGCGGCGGUCGAGACGUCCCGCCUCGAGUGGGCUAGGGGAUCGUGGAAUGCCGUAUGUAGCAGUGAAAAGCGUAGAGAUCCGGAGGAACACCGGUGGCGAAGGCAGCGAUCUGGGGCCACACUGACGCUGGGGGACGAAAGCGUGGGGAGCAAACAUGAUUAGAUACCCGGGUAGUC